rnacentral:lncRNA from 10 species
GUAUUUAUUUAUUUUACUUGGUGCAGGUAGUACUUUGAUUAAAAGGGGUGAUAUAGUUUGGAUAUGUGUCCCCACCCAAAUAUCUAUUGAAAUGUAAUCCCCAGUGUUGGAGGUGGGGCCUGCUGGCAGCUGAUUGGAUCAUGGGAGUGGAUUUCUCACGGAUGUUUCAGCCCCAUCCCCUUGGUGCUGUUCUUGUGAUGAUGUUGAAAUGAUGUUGCCUGAAGAAAAGAUGUGUUUGAGGAGAAGUGCAGAAGUCAACCCUCUGAUUAAGAGGGCUUCGUACAUCUAAGCAAUUAACCUCUCAAAGAGCUGGAGAACACAUAAUUAUCCUCAUUUGUCUAAACGUCGCCAAGAUGGCCGCCUUUCAAUUAACCUUCUGGGGAUGGAAGAAAGUUGGAGUGAUAUAGUGAUCAUUUUUAACCUUACUGUAUGCUUUUUUAAAAUGUAAUUUAAUUGAAAUAGCCAGAUGAUAAAAUAGUCAGAUACUGUUUCCACAGGUAAAAGGAUCAAGGGGGUUUUGAGGAAGAAAGGGCUUUGGAAAGUUGACAGAGCUAAUAAAAUAGAUGAUGCACUGUAUGAGAGAGAAGUUAGGCAGAGCAAUAUACGGAACUGUAUCAGUGAGCUUCAGAGCCAAGGCCCAAUAGAAUGCCAGGAUGAGACGGCAACAAACACAUAUGCUCCAGCCUUUCAUCAGCUCCAGCAGACCACAGGAGAUCCAGGAGUAAAUGAUAUUAUUGCUCUAAGCAGAAACAUUAAAGAAAAAGAAAGCAGCUAAUGGUUAUGGAAUACCUAGUAUGUGCCAGCACUCUGCUAGGCACUUUUGGUCCAGGAUCCUAUGGAACAUAUUUCAGUUAUAUGAGAAUAUAGCAAAUGACAUCUGCCCACUGACAAUGAGAACAAAAAUAGGGCAUACAGAUGAGGACUUCUAGUAUAGACACAUUAUUACAUUAUCCAGGCACAUGGCUGAGAAAUGGUUCAAAGGGGCAUUGUUUUAACCAACAUGUAGAAUUAGUUCACAAAAUAAGAUAAACUACCCUAUUACAGCCAUCACUAGCAGGCCUUAUGGGUAUUUCACUUACAUAUUCUCUGAGUGUCUGUGCAUCUUUCAACUUGGAUAUGUACAAACAUAUUGCCCAGUAACUGAUGAAGACUCAGAUUGUGUUCAGUUCUGGGUAGCACUCUUUAAGAGUAAUAUCAAUGAACAAGCAUAUUUACAGUAAACAUAUUAUAGAAGAAAUCAUGAAAAAAUUAUAACCAUUGAGCCUGAAAACAGUUCAUUUGGGUCAUAUAUGACAGUUCUCUCAAAUGGAAAAAGAGUGUGUCACAUAAAAGCAAAAGAAGAAUUACUUAGAGGAAAUGAGUAAAAUCAAUAGGUAGAAUUUUCAGAAUGAUAAAAACUACAAAUUUAUAUUUCACCAAAAUUCAACUGUUGAGUUGUGUCAUGUUGGAAUUUGCCUCAUGUUUUGAAGUAAUAUUAUUUAUAGUGUGCUUCUGCCGUGGUGAUUAUUUAAAGUGAGUGCUGAAUGAGUAUUUGUGUAAGAAGUACUAGAAAAUGAUUCCUAUGCUGAAUGGAUAGACUGUAAAACUCUAGGUCUUUCUAUUGUACAGUUAUGUAACUAUAACUCUAUAACCUACAAUCCUCACAAUCACAGGGCUAAUGAGUUUGCCUAGAGGAAUUAACAUUUUCUUUUUUUCCCAACAUACAUACACUUUCUUUCUUCUCUUUGUAAUCCCCCAAAUGUAAGGGAGUACCCUAUUUGCACAGAAGUGUCAAGAAUAAUGGAAAGAAACUCUCAAAUGUCAAUAACACUUCCAUAUGUGGAGAUCUUUCUAGUUAGGAUGCAAUUUGGGAUGGAAGAACAAUCCUUAUUAUUACUUUAUACUCAGCUAUAAUCAAAGGGCUUCUAUAUUAACAAAAGAACUGAAAAUCAGACCAAGUAGGUAACACAGGUCAAACGCCGCUGGAUCCUUCUUACCCUAUUGGUGUCAUUAGAGUAUAAGUGAUUUACUCAGACUCUGAUAGAAAGAACCAGAGAGAUUAAUAUGAUCUUUGCUCCUUGAGAAACACUGAAAGUUCAUUAAUUGGAGAAGGGAGUGAAGCUAAGAAAUUUUCUCAGUGAAUCAGAAUAAAGCAGUUGCAGAUAGCUCUAAAAAUCAGACACAAACAAUAAAAUCUUUUCUUUACACAUACAUUAUGGCUACCAGUGUCACCAGAUAUUAAACGAUAAUGAAAAAGGCUUAGCACUUUAACAAAAUGAUUUCUUGUUAAAGAAUGCUCAUUUCAUACUGAGCAUAUUUAAAUGGAAUGGCCAUCCCUCAGUCCCUUGUCUCAAGUUUUUUAUUUUUAGUCUCAUGGGUCACGGAGUUUCACUUUCUUUAAAAGAAGAAAGGCAGGUAUUUAAUAAACUUAAAGGGAAUUUCACCAGUUGUCAUUUCUCUUCUCUGGAAUUUUCUGACAAGCUGUGCUCUAACCUCCUGUGGUGAUAUUCAUCAAUAAUGCAUAGCAGAUAACCCGGUGCCUCCACCUACAUUUGUGGAACACCUUUCACUUGCCUAAUGGAAACAUGUCAGCAUACUGCGUGGUUUGUGAUAAAAGUGCAGUCUUUCAAGCAGGCAUUUUUUUCUUGUUCUUAAAAAAAUGCCCAACUUUUUAUUUUGAAAUAUUUUAGAUUUAUAGAAGAGUUGCAACGAUAAUACAGGGUGCUCCUGGAUAGCUUUCACUUAACAUCUUUAAAAACCAUGGUACAAUAAUCAAAACUAAGAUAUGAACACUGGUGCAAUAUUAUUAGCUAAACUGCAAACUUCAUUAUUUAGAUUUCCUUAGUUUUUCCACUGAUUUCCAGGACUCCAUCCACCAUCUCACAGUGCAUUUAGUUGUCCUUUUUCCUAAAUCUCCUCCAAUCUGUAGUAGUGUCUUGGACUUUCCUAGUCCUUCAUGACUUUGACUUUGAAGAGGAGUGACCAGGUAUUCUGUAGCAUGCCCCCCUGGUUUCGGAUCACUUGGUUAAGGUGUUGUCCACCAGAAUCCUCCACCGUAAAGUUACAGUUUUGCCCUUUCCAUGCUCUAUUCAUGAGAUGAUAGCCACUAACUACAGCCCGCACUCAAAGGGAGGGAGAUUAAGCUCCACCUCCAGGAGAGAGGGGCACCAAGGCUUUAUGAUUUGUUAAAACCAACACAAUGAUUGAUACGCGUCAGAGGGGAUUCGCUAAGACCGUGCGAAUAUCCUGCUUCUCUUUGAUUUUUACCCCCUAAUUUAAGCAUUGGUCAGUGCCUCUUGCCUCUAGCACUGUCAUUUUAAACAAAAGUUGACUUUCAUGGGAUACAUAGAUACAUUUAAUAUUAGCUCAGUAAAGAAACAAAUGUUUAGUGCUUACAAAAUAUCUG